rnacentral:rRNA from 1 species
CCCUUAGAUGUUCUGGGCAGCACGCGCGCUACAAUGGUCUUCGCAAACGGAUGCAUUCUCGAAGGAGAAUGCCAAUCUUGGAAUCUAUGCCUUGGUCGGGACAGUUGCUUGCAAUUUUUCGACUCGAACCAGGAAUUCCUUGUAAUCGUGAUUCAUCACAUCACGAUGAAUACGUCCCUGCCCUUUGUACACACCGCCCGUCGCUCCUACCGAUCGAAGAGUUACGUGAAUUGUUUUGAUCGAUAAGAUUUGACUAUGGUCAACUCUCGUUGUGAAAUUCUGUGAAUCUGACUGUUUAGAGGAAGGAAAAGUCGUAACA